ACCGUGACCGCCGCUGAGAUCGGAUGUCAUUGCAUCUUGUCCCUGUGGCGCAAGAUGCUGCCACCCUCCGAUUGAGGAAGUCUCCCACCAUCGAGAGUCCUUAUGGGAAAAUCAGCCUGUGACGGGCACCGUGGCUGCAGGAGGGGCAGGGCCGUCUGUGACUCACUGCAGAGAAAAGGACACAAGACACGACAGUGGCGCUAGGAUGAGCCCUUUGGUCUGGUGCUGAGAGUGUCUGAUGUCUCAAGGGCAGGGGAAGCAGCAGUACCGAGUGAGAAAGUGUAUCAUGGCUUGAAUGACUCGGAGGGAAUUUUUAAACAUGAUUCAGAUCUGUGGUUUUUUCUCAAAAGCUGGUUCCUAUAAGCAGCAUGAAGAGUUGAAAACUGCCACUGAACUGUAAAGAUUUACCAACAGGGUAAAUCUUUGGUGUUCAAGAGAAAAAAAGUAAUUCCUUGGAGCCUUGACAUUGUUACACUGGAUUACAUUAAUGACCUGCCUGGUCCAGGAUCUGAGAGUGGCCAGUUCCCUCCCAACACCUGUCGGCGCGGACGCCAUUUUGAAGCUCACCACGUGGUGGAGAAAUGAUCUGAGGUGGAGCUCCCCCGUCCCACGAUGGAGGAAGGGGCGUCGUUGCUUGUGGCUGAAUGGCUCAGAGCCCUUCACCUGGACCAGUACCUGGAGAGCUUUGAGAAGAACGACCUCUGGAAGGUGUCGGACUGCAGGAACCUGACGGAUGAGGCGCUGACUCAGAUCGGGAUCUUGCUGCCAGGCCAUCGCAAGCGCAUCCUCUUUGGCCUCCAGAAGGCCUUCAUGGAGGCUCCACCAGGCACGGAGGGGCCUGUGGUGGCAGCGAGGAGGCCAGUCCCCAUGAAACGCAACAUUUUCCGGGUCAGCGCAGAUGCUGUGACUGCCCGGGCAGAGCCGGAGCUCAAAGGUGACUCGCCCACGCCAGCCAGCAGAAAGUCUCCUGUUCUCACGGAGAUGGGGAACCCUGCCGGCCUCAGCCAGGUGCCCCCACCCAUCCCCCCGAGACUGGGGUGUCGCCCUCCCAUCAAGUUCUCCUCAGCAUCGCCUCCUGUCUCUGGUGAACUGUCCCCCGCUGUCCCCUGUCGCUCCGAACUGCCCUCCUUCGCUGACUUUGCCCCUCCGGUGCCUGCUCCUCUGCCAGCCAGAGACAAGCUCUCUCUGGGGCUAGCGGUCCCUGAAGGGAAGGGGAAACCACCGCUGCCCCCUUUGCCAGUGAAACGCCACCAGCUGGAGACCAAGCCCCACUCCCUCAAGGUGCCCCCCCUGCCAAGCCGACCGCCCUUGCUGCCGCCAAGGGCUUUGUCCCAGAGGACGGCCACCAGCUUUCCUGCUAGAGAGGAAUCCCAAGCCCCUGAGCCGGUGCCUAUUGUCCCACCCCCUCUGCCUCCUAUCCUUCCCCCUGUGAAACCACAACAACAGAGCCCCCUGAUACUGCCUUCCAGACCCGUCGACCUCUUCCUGCCGGAGUUCGACAACUCUGACUAUGAAGAACCCCCGUGGGAGGAGGAAUUGGCAGCUGCCACGGGAGAAAUGAGUGACAAGGACGAUGCCGAGACCAUGAGGGGGAGGCCACGCCCGGAGAGAGUCAACAGCUUGUUCAGCGAGGACGAGCUCAUUGAAGACUAUUACGACCAGCCGCCGGCUGCCAACGACAGCAGCUGUUGGAAUGACUAUGGCUUGAGCACCCUGCAGUCCAGCGGCACGGUAUCCUCCCCGAGUUCCAGCAUGCACAGCGGCAGCCCAGAGGGGUUGGAUUCCCCCACCCAGCUCUUACCCAUCAUCAAAGCCGGGUGGCUGGACAAGAACCCCCCACAAGGCUCAUAUAUCUACCAGAAGCGCUGGGUGAAGCUAGACGCUGACUACCUCCGAUAUUUUGACAGUGAAAAGGACACGUACUCCAAGCGCUUCAUUCCGGUGACCUCAAUAGCCCGCGUGGCCAGCAUCGGGGACCAGAAAUUCGAGGUGAUCACUAACAACAGGACCUUCGCCUUCCGGGCUGAGAGCGAUGCGGAUCGUAAUGAGUGGAUGAGGACCCUCCAGCAGAUGGUGGACGAGCGGAAGUUCAAGGGCUUGAACAGGAUAUCCCUGUUCCAGCUGGCCACUGGCGCCUUGGACUCGGUGGACAAGUGCGGGCUGCUGGAGCUGCGGGGCUUUAAGAACAAGCUGUACGUGGUGGUGGCUGGAGAUAAGGUUUUCCUGUACAAGAAUGCUGAGGAUUAUCGACAGGGGAUCGGAAUCACCUACAUUGAGAUGAAUGUGGGGAAUGUGAAGGACGUGGACAGAAGAGGAUUUGAUCUGACGACGCCUUACAGGAUCUUCAGCUUCUCGGCAGACUCGGACCAGGAAAAGGACGAGUGGGUGGAGGCCAUGCAGCAGUCCAUCGCCGAGGCCCUCUCCAACUCGGAGGUAGCGGAGAAGAUCUGGUCGGUGGAGGCAAACCAGUUCUGCGCCGACUGCGGGUCGCCCAAACCCGACUGGGCCUCCGUCAACCUUUGUGUCGUCAUCUGCAAGAGAUGCGCAGGAGAACAUCGGGGGCUGGGGCCGAGCAUCACCAAAGUGCGGAGCCUGAAGAUGGACAGAAAGGUGUGGACGGAGGAGCUGAUCGAGUUGUUCUGCAAGGUUGGUAACUGUGUGGCGAACCAGUUCUGGGCAGCCAACGUGCCCCCCAGCGAGGCCAUCCACACGGCGAGCAGGAGCCAGGAGCGGAGACACUUCCUCGUAGCCAAGUACAAGGAGGGCAAGUAUCGGCGCUACCACCCGCUCUUCGGGAACCAGGAAGAGCUCAACAAGGCCCUGUGCGCUACGGUGACGACCAGCGACCUGGCUGAAACUCAGUCCCUGGUGUUCUGCGGGGCGGAGGUGAGCUGCUUCUCCGGGGACCCCAACUUCCCGAACCCCAUCGCCUUAGCCGAGCAGGCUGGACAGAAGCUGCAGAUGGAAUUCCUGCUUCAUAACAAAAACUCAGAGAUCCCGCGGGUGGAAGCGGGGAGCAGUGAGGAGAAGCACUACUCGGUGAUCCUGCCGUCCGUCACUCACAACGGCUUCCUCUUCAAGACGCCCUCCAUGGCCAAGCUGGUGCAUGAACGGAAAUCCCGGGAAGAAUUCAGCCGCCGCUGGUGCACCCUCAACGACAGCAUCUUCAGCUACUACGAGAACGACCGCAACGCCGUGCCUAAUGGCGAGAUCAAGAUGGAGGAGAUCGUGUGCCUGGUGAACAACCCGCCUGACGCCCACGGGUUUGAGAGCACAUUUGAGGUCUACAUCGAAUCAGAGAGACUGUACCUCUUUGGGCUGGAUAAGCUGGAGGCCAUUCGGAAGUGGGUCAAGUCCAUAGCCAAGUCCUUCGUCCACCCCCGAGCGGAUGAGCUGCUGAGCCACGACUUCGAGCGGAUCGGGCGGCUGCAGUACAAGGGCGGCCUGAACCUGGAGCGGGCCAAGGAGGGCUGGUUCGCCCUCACCCAGUCCACCCUCUACGCCAUCUUCGAGGACAGUGACAAGGAGGAGGCGCUGCACCUGAAGAAGCUGCAGGAGCUCUCCAUCCAAGGGGACAGUCUGGUUCUGGUGGAGAGAAGAAGGACGCUGUACAUCCAAGGGGAGAGGAAGCUGGAUUUCUUGGGCUGGGUGGCUGCCAUCCAGAAGGCUGCGGGGAGCUCCGGUGACACGUUGUCCGAGCAGCAGCUCACGGAGUUGGACAUCCCCGUCAUCGUAGACAGAUGCAUCGAUUACAUCACGCAGUGCGGGCUGACCUCGGAGGGGAUCUACAGGAAGAGCGGCCAGAACUCCAAGACCACCAGCCUGCUGGAGAUGCUCCGGAAGGACGCGCGCAGGGUCCGGCUCAAGGAAGGGGAGCACCAGGUGGACGACGUCUCCAACACGCUGAAGAGGUUCUUCCGAGACCUCGGGGAUGGGCUCUUCACCAAAGAGUUCUGCCAGGACUGGCUGAAGGCAGCAGCGAUUGAAGACGAGGAGGAGAAGAUCAGCCAGUACCGCCAGCUCCUGAGCAUCCUCCCCGUGGUGAACAGAGCCACAGUCAAAGCGCUGAUCAACCACCUGUACCGGGUCCAGUACUUCUCCGACAUGAAUCAGAUGAACACACACAACCUGGCUAUUGUCUUCGGGCCGACGCUCUUCCAGACGGACGGGAAGGACUACAAGGCGGGGCGUGUGGUUGAGGAUCUCAUCAGUCACUAUGUGGUCAUAUUUAGCGUGGACAAACAAGAGAUGAGGAAACAGCAGGACGAGAUCACGGCCAUCAUCAAGAUGCGGAUAGCCGGCUCGUCUAGUGGAACCCAGCAAGCCGGGGACUUCAUCUGCACGGUGUAUCUGGAGGAGAAGAAGACGGAAGCAGAGCAGCACAUCAAGAUCCCAGCCACCAUGACGGCGGAAGAGCUGACCUUCGAGAUCUUGGACCGGAGGAAAAUUGUCAUGAAGGAGAAGGAGUACUGGAGCUGCUUCGAAGUGAACGAGAGGGAGGAAGCAGAGCGGCCCUUGCACUACUCUGAGAAAGUCCUGCCUAUCUUGCACGACCUGGGGACGGACAGCUUCCUGGUGGUGAAGAAGCAGCUGUCCAUGGAGAAUAUGCUCAUCUAUCUAGCCAGCAGAGUGGGCGACAGCAAGCACGGCAUGAUGAAGUUCCGGGAAGAGAGGAACCUUCUGGGGCUCGGGCUGAGCACGGGCUUCCAUGACCGAUAUUUCAUCCUGAACCACAGCUGCCUGAGGCUCUACAAGGAAGUGCGGAGCCACAGACCGGAGAAAGAGUGGCCAGUCAAGAAUCUGAAAGUUUACCUGGGAAUUAAGAAGAAACUGCGCCCUCCGUCCUGCUGGGGAUUCACGGUGUUCUAUGAAAACGAGAAGCAUGAAAAGCAACAGUGGUACCUGUGCUGCGAUACCCAGAUGGAGCUGCGCGAGUGGUUCGCAACCUUCCUCCACGUACAGAAUGGCGGGAACGUGUGGCCCUCCGAAUCCUCCAAGGUGCGGGCGUCGCGGACGCAGCAGGACUCCAGGUUGGGUAACAUCUCGCUCAUCCCUCUGCGGGGCAAUGAGAAUGAGAUGAGGAACAGUGUGGCUGCUUUUGCUGCUGAUCCGCUAACUGUGAGUGACAACCAAUCGGUGCUGGGUUUCACGGUGCAGGGAGUGGCAUCCCACUGGCUCGUAGCAUCACGCCUGUCGAGCAGGUGGGACGGGCGCAGGAUCCCCACACCCGGGGGUUUCCUCCAGAGUGAGAUCAGUAGGCGAGAGCUGGGUGGGGUUGGCGAACACAGAGCAUUUUCUGCUGUUAGCCUGGCUCGCAAUCCUUUCCCGGCCUCUGUCCUAGUCAUUGACUCAGAGCAACCAAAGCCAACGAGGGCAGGGUUCGUUCUUUGCCCGUGUUGGGUAACUGUCCCCAGCAGGCCUAGGGGCCCAUUGUCCAACGGUCGGCAGGGAGGUACCUGCAGGCGUGAUGCAGCAACAGGGGAUGCAGCUCGGCAGAUGAUUUCUCCUGGUAAUUGGGGUCGCUGCUUUGAAAUUCCUUCUCCGUUACAAAUCCGCUCCCUGUCCCUCUCCUUUCCCUCUCCUCGGUCUGGACUCUGUCCACACGCAAUGGCAGCAUGGGGGACUGCCGGAGAGGCUACUGCAGACUGUGAUUUGUCUACUGUUUCUUCCACAAACGUGGAAACUUCUUGGUUUCGCUUGAGCAACAAGGCCCGAACCAACAGUCGGCAACUCAGAUAAGGACUAGCUGGGUGUGGGCAGUUAGCAAAGAGCUGGUCUUUAUCUGAUUGCCAACGGACUGAUCCUGGGGGUCCUUAUUGCUGUUAUAAACCUGACCAGAAGCUUUUCUCCUGGGCCCUGAAAGCAGGACAGCUGGGUCUAAGGAAUGCGGCUGGUGGCCAGAGGGAAGCCACUGGCAGGUAGCAGUGUUCAUCCUGGCCAGCUCCUCCUCCAUGGCUUGGGGACUGGGCAAUUGGCCAUCCGAUGCUUUCCAGCUACAAGCCCAGGUUGGUAGGGACUGAACCUCGUUACUGCUCAGUGGCUUGGUGUUAAAUGAGCUUGGCGGGUCUCACGCCAGUUCCUAAUGGACCAGUGUCUGUGUGGCAAAAAACCAUGACUCCAAUGGGUGGGGGCCAUGACAUGAACCGGUGGGUCUCAGCCCAAUGGCUAGCAGACAAGCAUUCCUACACAAACACCAUCUUCACAAGGGGCCACUAGCAGGCCUCUCUGCAGAGAAGCCAGGGACUGAACGGGCCUCUCUAAAGGGGUCAGUUCAGGGCAGGGUCAUGGCAUAUUGGGCAGGUGUCCGGGCAGGAAGCUUGCCCCACCACUGCAUGGGCUGUAUUUCCGCUGUGGGUCAGGAAGGGAGCAACACUUCCUAGCACUGAAUUCACGAUGUCCAUGGUUAAAGGUCUGUUAGUACAAGCGCCCUUUGCCGGGGAGAUCCAGGGCAUGCAGCGCAUAGCACCCCGGGCCCUGCCUUCCCUCAGGUUUAUAAUGACAGCUAUGGUGGAACGGGAUCUCCAGCGUGGCUCUUUACAAUGGGAUGCGUCUGGCUUUUUGCUUGGCAGAGGGGACGGGGAGAAAUGCCCCCCAGCCUGGGGCCCGGUCGGACUCUGCUUCGUGUUUGCUUCCCCUCUUCUGCUCUUGCUCGGUUCGAGAGUUUGGGGCUAACCCUGCAGCUGGCAGCCAUUUCCCGUCUCUGUCCCUCAGGAUGUGUCCGCAGGCCGAACUGCAGACAGCGGGUGCUGCACCGAGGCAGCUGGCUCAGCCCCGCACGCCUGGGAUGGGGCAGAGGGUGCGAGAGCAGCAUUCGGUGCGAGUCCUGGCCAAGCCGCCGCCAGCCUCAAGGGUGGGGAGCGCAAGGGCUGUGCGGGGCUUAGACAGCCCAGAUCCCCCAGUCAGGAAACGCUGCCCAACGGUCUGCCAAUGGCAUCUGAAACACCGCUGUCAGCAUGCAGCAUCGCAGGGAAGCCCCUGGGAGCUGCAUCUUCUCAGGAGAUCCCCAAAUUAAUAACCCUCUGCCCUUGUGCACAUCAGUGAAUUCACCCUCACCAAACCCGGGGAGGUGGGCCAGCAUCAUUAGCUCUAUUUGACAGAUGGGGAAACCGGGGCCCGGAGAGUUUAGGUGACUUUACCCGGGGGACGGGGCACAGCAAAUCCAUGGCAGGCAUGACUCGGAUUCCCGUGCUCUAACCACUAAGCGAAACUGCCUGUGGGUGCGGUAUAAUUCCUAAAAGGAUGGGGCUCCCUUGUAUAACCCCCGCCAGCAUGCUCAAGAAAUCUCUCCGCAGCGUAGCUUUGAGGUGCUGAGUACAUUGAACCAGGGCCCAUUUGCCUAGAGCUAUUGCCAACUCCCUGAGGAUGUUCGGACUCCUCGUGGCCGAGCUGUCAAGGGGCCCAUUGUGCGUUCACUCUGGGCGCCCGGUGCAUUGAGCAAGGAAGGGCUUGAGCUGGCAGACGGAGAAAUGAUUCGGUCUCCAACCCCCUUGCUCUGAAAGCUGGGAACAAAAGGCAUCGUGAAAGGGGGGCCUGAUGGGGCGGCGGGUGGGAAAGCUGGUGAGUCCCGAGGAAGAGUGCUGAGUCUUUGAAGAGUAACUGGUGAUGUGCCGGCAAUUCUCUCCCCUGCUGUUUCUGGGAUGGUUCGGAGAUCAGCCAGAGCGCCGGGGCGCUGUACCUGAGCACAUCCCUCUGGCUGCGAGCCGGGGCUCAGGAGCGCCUGGUUAGACAGGUGUGCUGUGCUGGGACAGGCAGAGCCGGGCUGCGGCCCUGCCUCCUUCCUGCCCCUCUCAGUGUGAUUUUGCUUCCCUGAGCAAGGGCUGAUCCUAACCUGGCCCUUGAUGGGACGGGCUGUCUCUUGGGGCAUGAUGCACCGUCACCGAUUCAGAGAGCCCCAGUUACAGCUGAAAAUCCCUUUCCGAUGCAAGCCCCUGCCUCCCCAUCUGAAGCUGCUCGGGCGUAUUCGAAUCGGCUGCUGGGGCGAGACUCUUCAUCCCCCAGCAGAUCCGAGGGGUCAAGAUUAGGGGCGGAGUCUUCCCCCUUCCUCUGCGGCUUUUGUGCCAGCCCCCUUGGCCGUGGGCCUGGUUCCGCAGAAAUGGGACAUCUCUGCUUGGCUGAUGUUUGUACCGUGGCUCCAAGCAUUUGCCAGGCUAUUAAACCUAGUGCCCCUUUGUUCUUCUGACGCAAAGGCUGCCACGUUUUCCGGCAGCUGCCGCUGCUGGGGUUGUUACUUGUGCAGCUGGCUGGAUAAUACAGGCCGUUUUCCCAGGGAUGUGUUUGUGGCACAUCUUGUGGUCGCUCCCCUCAGGCGUGCGAGUGAGGCAGGACGGUCAUGCAGUAAAGGUGCUGGACAGAGACCUGGGUUCAAGUCCCGCUUUGCCACAGACUGACCUUGGUCAAGUCACUGCAUCUCUCCGGGCUCUCGCUCCCCAUCUGGCUAAACAGGGAUAAUAGUUCCCGUGUAGGGGAGUUGUGGGGUGCUCAGACACUGUGGCAGUCUGGGCUGAAACGUUUGAUGGGCUCACAAUGCUCGCAGGAAGGGAUUUUUAAAGUCACACUUGGAAGUCUUUGUGCGAGAUGCACUUAGGUUCUCCUCCAAUCAAUAUCACGUGAUAUUUUUUUUUUUUUGGACCAAUCCCAAAGCAGCACAGUUCGAGUUUCCAGUAUUCCCGCUCAGACUGUGGAGUAAAGAAAAGGCAGUUUGAGAGUGAGGCCGUUGCAACGCGUGAGCGGGAAACUGCUAAUAAUGAUUCCCUGUGACUCAGGCCUGGGUUAUAGCAAUUCACUGUUUUGCCCAAGGCAAAUAGUGUGUGUCUUUUACAAGCCAGGGCCUUGGGGCCAUGAGGUCUUAUCAUCGGCUUCCCAAGUACCCUGUUUUCUGCAGGAGGAUGGGGCAUCUCCCCAAGCACUUGGGGUUUGCCGCACAGUGCUUGUUACUCCUGGGGAGGGUGGAUGCUGUAGAAAUGGACAUGUCCCCAGACAGACAGGACUACGAUACAGUGGCUCUUGGUUCUAAGGAAGCACCCUGGUGAGGUUUAUGCCUGCACCAUCCCUGAGGGGGGGCGUGAACAGCGUGAGGUAAUGCGGGUUGGGUGGGGGCGGGAACAGCCUGGCUAAGGGACCAACCCCCAGCUCCUGCCAGUGUGUUUCUAUGAGCAUGUGAUGUGCCGGGUGCCUCUAAAAGAGACAGAGGUGCCGGCAGGCCUGCCCCUGAGGUUCGUGGGUUUGCAGGAUUCAGCCAGAUCUGGCAAUUUCACUGCACGAGGCCUGGUGCAACACCAUCAUCGGUGGUCACGCCGGCUGAUGUGGCGGUGCUCAGUAGGCCGUGGUGGUGGAGACGGUUGCGACUGGCCUGCUGGUCUCAGCAGCUGAGUUCUCCCGGGUCCACCGCUGAGCUCCCGUCUCAGGCAAGUCGUUUAACCUCAGCUCCUGCCCCGCACCCUGUGGUGUCUGGCAUCCUGGAGUGAAAGAUGCUUGAAGAGACCCAGAUAGCGGCCACUCUCGGCUUCAUAGGGUAGUUACAAAGUGAAGGUCGUCCCUUCGCCCUCUCCCAGGCCCAGGCAGCUAAUCGAUACGGGUGCACAGCGGGAGGGGAAACUGAGCCAGAGUUAACCCUUUGUUCCCCAUGGAGCAGCCCUGUCACCUUCAUCUAAUUACCCACAAUCGUUCCGAGCCAAGGAGUGCAGCCCUUCCAGCUACUUAAUGCCACCAACGUACAUGUCGGAGAAGGAAAACUAACCCCUUCCUCCUUAUUUUCUCUCUCUCCAGCUGCUUCGAAACGUAUGAGCCGGAGGCCUAACACAUCAGGUCCGUUUGCGAGAGGGGGGAGCCAGCCUGAGAGCCCAGGUGCGCACAAGUCAUGUUGCAUUGUCCCUGCUCAUCCAGCGGGGUCUGCACGGAAACUGGGGGGCUCUCAGAAUGUGUGCCAGCCCCUUGAUCCAAUCAUCUCCUUCUACGGCAAAGCCGACAGCAGCCGCAAAACAAUAAGCAUCUGUGUUUGAUUUAAGGAAAAUGAAUCCAUUGGCAAAGAGCGGCUUCUAAAGGAUUAAUUAUUCAAGCAGACACUGUCUCAUCACUCUUCUCGCCGGCUGUCCGUGCCGUGACCAGCCGAACCCCAGAGACGGGGCAGAGGAAGCUGUGCUGGGAUGGACUUUCUGGACCCAUCGCUUCACCUGGGAGUGUCUUUCUCCCCCAUCACCAGCUGCUUCUUGCUUCUUCUUGGGUCCUGAAUUAAAACUGGAAGGGCGCAGACUGGGAUGGCCCCUCUCUGGUGCCAGCUGCUGCUCCGGGAGGGGUUAGGGGCUGGGGGCACUCUUGCUUUCUUUAAAAUUCUUUCUCUCUAUUUGAAACCGCAAGCCACGGAAGGGCAGCAAGGACCACCCAGCCAGGCCAGGCAGAGACCUUCCAGCAAGGGUGCUUCUGCUGGUGGAAGCAUUAAACCCUCCCAAGGAGGAGCGGUGGGCUAACCCCAGCCGUUCUGUAUCACUACGUUGGAGAAGGGCUGAAGGCGACCCACGGGGGAAGCGGAUGGAAGGCUCCCAUCGCUGCUGCUGGCCCCUCAGAGCCACACGCCGCUUCUCUCCUUCUCCCAGGCUGCCCGAUCCCAUGGCCACAUGGGCCUUUCGUGUGAAAGCUUCGCCAGCAGGGCGUUAGAGCGGGGAGAGUCCAGCACCCAGCCGCGGGCAUGUGGGGAUGGCUGAGUGGAGUCAUGGCUGGGACGCGUGGCUUGAGGGGCCCUGGUGGAAGCAGCAAGAGACUGGGGCGCGUGUGGGGGGACGGGACUCUGGGCCAGCCUUAAGUUGAGCUUGGAGUGGGGCCGUUUGUCCUGGGCAGGGAGAGGGGCCAGUGCUGUCCUGGUCAACGGCCUCCUUGGUUAUUGUUAAUAUUAAACGCCUGGGGAAGUCCAUGUGAUGGUGUCCCCAUGCUGCAGGGCAAAGGGAGGGGCUGGCAGCCUGAAUGCAGCAGGCUAAUGCUGGGGAUGACCUGCUACCCCUGGGCUGCAAGCUGAGAUAAAGGGGCAAAGACCCGCGGUCUUGGGGCUGCAGGCCAAGAUGGGGGAGUGGGGGAGGGGCAGUUGCUUCCGCUAGAGGUGAAGAUGGAGGAGCAUGAGCCCAUUAUUUUAGGGCCCCAGGCCAAGACGGAGGAGCAGCGGCCCCCUUCAUCGGGACUCUAAGUUGGGACAGAGAGAAAGAGGCCAGUUUCUGACUCCCUCAGUGUUCAAAAGUGGGUGCUCAGAGAGCCGAGCGAUCAGUCGCUAAUGCACGUAUCAGGCAAAGCCUGCGCGUUCUCCAGGUGACUAGCUACAUGGGAGAAUUCUUCUGUUUAAUAGUCUCCCUUUUCUUUAAAAGCCUCGGAGAUUCUAGACCCCAAAAAGGUUAAAAGAACAUUACAUCUGCAUGGUCAAGCACCCAAAAGCCAGGAAAUGUCAAAAGUAAGGUUAUCCAGGCAACCUUAACUCUGCCCCUUGAACACGUGCAUUAUGGUAUAGUGUUUAAUGAUGUGAUCACAUGCCAUUUUCUCUGCAAAACCUCUGCCCCAUUCCUUGUCUGGUGAAUGAGGCAGGGACCACACAGUGAACAGCUGUCUUGUUUACUUCAUGCCAGGCAGCUUGUGCCCUGAAUGAGGCAGGUGCUGCGGGAAACCAGUGUUUGAUCCUGUAAUUAAAGAGUGUAUUGUAACCCAUACCCAGAGGGAAGAGUUAAGGUUAUGCAGCAGUCUGUAACCACAUAACCUUAACGUAAGCGUCUAUUUGGUAUGGAAUAGAAUAGUAAUGUUCUAUCUAUAUAUAGCACCUUUCAGCUGGGGAAGGCAGAGCACUUUACAAAGGAGGAAAGGGUAAUGUUGCUCUUUCUAUCAGGGCUCACACUCUAAAGAACAGGUUGGAUGCAAUGCCUUGGAAAACUGAAGUUAGAAUUAAGCACGGCCAUUUAUUCUGUUAACCUGGGCCAAGGAAAGGGGGCCAUAGGGAUAAUAAACGUUUUGCACUUCCUUAGCCUCUUUUGCCCAAGGAUCUCUAAGCAUUAGGAGAGCCGCAUUGUAAGGGUUAGAUGGGGGGGGGGUUCAGAUCACAUUUCACUCCCCCUCACACACUCAAACGUAGCCAGCGUCGGGACUGGACACAGCUGCUGGUUAACAUCAGCAUUGCAUGCCACGUCAGGACAGGAAGUGAAGAUGAAUGCCAUAUCCUGCUGAAGCUACAGGGGAAUUUAAGGAGGCCAGCUGGAGUGAUCCAAGUAGAAAUAGGCCCAGGAGCCUGGUGUUAACACCCCCUACUCUUGGGGAAAGUACCAGGCAAGCUAUGGCCAGUGCUGGAACUUAGUUUCUUUGCAUAAAGAAGCCGAGAGACCAAGAUGACUGGCUGCUCAGAAACAGCAUGUCCAGUUCGCUAGGGAAUUCCAUCCCAUCCUGGUGGAGGGUGACCUGGCCUCAGUUUUUCAGGCCUUCCUCGCCUGUCCUCUGGAUUACAGCAAUAUGACACACCUGGGCAUGAAGCCUUCAGGGUUUAGGAAACUUCAACUAAUACAGAACAUUGCAGCAUAUCUCCUUAGCAACAUGGGCUCCCGCGAGCACAUCGGACCUGCCCUCCGCUUCCCACAGAUCACUGAAUCCAGGUACAAGGUCCUUAUUUUCAGAGUAGUCAAUGGCCUCUGCCCAGGGUAUCUAAAAUAGCCUGCAGAGCCAGGAGUGGGACUGGUGUGGAGUUCUCUGCUCCUCUGCUACAGUCGAACUUUCCACCAUCAUCUGUGCAGGGGACAGAACUUUGUCAGGGGCUGGUCCCAGACUGCGGAGUCAACUCCCCCAGGAACUAAGGACCAUCGCAGACCUCCUCACCUUCCACCCCAAGGGCAAUAGGAGCUUCUCCAAUCAGCCUUCUCGAACAGAGGGAGAUGAUGGAGGCUGUCAGGCAGCCACUUCUGGCUUCCUGAUCUAUGCCACUUGGCCCUGGCAUUCAUUGGAGCAGCUGAGGAGCUGCUCUAACUUACACCUGUGGUGUAAUGUCCAUGAGACAGGACACGGGCGCUCCAUGGGUCUCGCCACCUCUCAGGAUUUGGCCAUAGGAGUGUAGGAAACAGCUGCAACCAUGCGGAGGUCUAAGGUACCACACCAGGGCACGGAGCAGUUAUUCAUUAAUGAUGCUGAGGCGUCCAGUGAAUCUAGUUUGUUGGCUAGCUGGAGAUUUUCGAACCAGUUGUCAGGUUGGUUCCCAUUCCCCAAACGGCUCCUUGAAACGUGCUUCUGAAGCAGACGCUGUCUGUGUGCAGCUGGCUCAGCAAAGCCAACACGAAUAGCAGAUGAUUAACAGGGAGUGAAUGCUAGGAGUAACUGAGUCCCCCAGGGGUGAGAGAGAGAGCGGGAUAAAGAGCCCCACUCAGGCCGCAGAGAAACAGGCACCAGAGUCGAAAGCUAUUGUGGCUGGAGAUCCAAGACGCUGGAAGCAGCUCACUGCUCUGCUUGGUGAAAGACUGAGACCCCUGUUUAUGCCUUGUGGGCAUAAAAUGGACUGAAAUUGGGGCCCCUCCGUGCUGCUUGGGGUUUUACACUCUGUGUCGUAUGCGUUAUGGAUGGGAAAAGUCCAACUAUUGAAGCGAGAUGGUCAGGAACCAGAUUUUCCAUUCUGUAGGUCUUUUUUUUUCCUUUUCUGUUCCUAAAUGGAACGAAACCAAAAAACGCGGACGUUUCCCGCAAUGUGAAAUUUCAGGGCGCGGGGGGAGGGGAAUUGUUUUAGAUCAAUUUGAAACAUUUUGUUCCGACUUCAACUUUUUCAAUUUGCUACGACGUUAUCUAAGAUAAAAUAAAGAAAUGGAAAGUUGUUCCCAA